GUAGAAAUACAAAAGCUUCCGUUAAAAUUUUGUAAAUUCAAAUAUUCGUAACUACUUACAUUUUUUAGAUAACUCGACCAAUAAAUGUUUCAACCAGCCCGUUAGCGCGUUUUUUACACGCCUUCCGAGAGGAAUGGUGUGGUACCCCAUGGUCAUACGUUCAUCUAUCCAAAAAGUACGGGUUCUCGUUUAUGGCUUUUUGUUCUCCGAAUAAGAAAUUCGGCCCAAACCGGCUAGUCCCGGCGGGAAAGCGCUUAGAUGGUGUCGCCGAUCCGAAAGAUGGGUGUCGUUCCCGCCUAUACGUCCCGUAAGACCGACCGAAAAAAACUCGUGCCAUUACCUUUCAUAAAAUCAGUCUAGUGUAUGGUAGUAUACGACCUAGCUACCGGGCCGCAGUUACUUCCUAUUAUCCGGUAACAUAUUGUUAAUCGUUUUGGUUAAUAACACGGGGGCCGCGAGAAAUCGCGUGGAGGGCCGCCAGUUCGACAUCCCGCUGUAAAAUAACCCGGGUGUUCCGUAAAAAUUUCGGGAUGGAUCGAAUAUACCGGGAUAGAAAAAGUUUGCGAAAGGUUGGUUUAGAUAACCACGGCGGAAUACCGCUGUAACCGAGAAACCUGUGGUAGGAUUUACGUGAUAAUAUAGAAUUUCGGCAGAAACUCCGCCCGUUUAGUGCAGCCGUCUUUGUCCGCCGCCGUCCCGGUAGAAAGGGCUGGAGGAUGGUCUCCUACCGCCGGACCCGGCCGAAGAUACCGUAGGGUGUACCGGGUUGGGUGGACGGAUGCCACACCUCGGAGUUUUUCCGAAAGGGCCCCUUCCCCGCCGGCCCGUCCCGGUGGGAAGACCGUAGGUGCCGAAACUGGCCGGUGCCCAGUAGACGGACGCGACUAUUUUUUCUUAAUAGCAGUUAAUUUGUAUCGGCUGGACGCGUCGGGCCAGCGGCCAGAAUGCUGGGUUGUCGGCUAGGUGGCCGAAUGGAGUAACAGGUAGCCGGACCACUUUCCACACACCACUUUUACCGCCGGUAGUCCGUCGACCGACCCGGCCGGAAAGAGGACCAAGUUGGGCCUGGGUCAGCCUGGGCCCCUCACUUCUACCGCUCCGGUUUCUUACUGGCUUUACCGGCGGUGGGACCACCCACCCUUUGGUUAUGGGAGGAAGAUUUCCACCGCCGGCCUUUCUGGGAAGAGCGUGCGAGACCAGCCGCCACCAGGAUCGGCGGUAGCCCCGAAAUAACCGGACGGAUGUUUCGACCGAACACCGCCCGACAGGAAUGCCCAAAAAACGGGACACGCGAGUCGAUCGAGCCCGCGGUAACCCACCGGCCGUCGACGGAGAAUUUCUCCGGGUCCGCCGAUAUAAUCGGUUUCACCUUCCGAGUGUCUACCCCGAACCGGAAGACCAAACACCCAGUUUCUUCUCACGUUCCGAGACGCGCCCAGUCGCUUCCCGCACUUUUAAUGUUUUUAGUCGGGAUGGUCGGUAACGGUGCGCUUGUGGGUGGAGGAGAAGAGCCGGUUAUUUCUUCUGCUCCGAUUAUCCGGCCACUCGGACCCAUGGCCAAACCCAGUCCCGGUGGCUCCGUGGAAAACUAUCCGAAUUCCCAAGCGGAACACCGACCGAAAAAUAGUCAAAACGGCCCGAUUGCUCCGGCCGAAAGGGCGGCCCGGCG
rnacentral:lncRNA from 1 species